AAGAACUUGCAAAGUAAAAACAUGAUCUAUGUCAGGUAGCCCUUUUGUUAUUUACAGUUAAAAAGAGGAUUAGUGUUACUGUGUGCUGGCUGAGUCGGUUUCUUUUCUUAGAAAUAGUUUCUCCUGCCUUGGAGAAAAUCCACUUGCAUGGAACAGAAGAGGCUGUGGAGUGCAGGAACCACACUGCAAGCUGGUAGAUAUGCAGGUUUUUCACUUCGGCAGAUAAAAUGAAUUGAGCAAAAUCAACUCAAAAUAUUCCCACACGCCAGAACGUCCUCUUUUCCUCGCUGGCUCCAUAUCUGUCAGUGGAAUGAUCACCUCUUCUCUCUCUGUCACCAUCAACACACUCCACGAAUCCCGUGGAUGAUUCACUUCCUUAUAUCCGUUUGAAUCAGGUGUCACUACCCGAGAGGGAGAGAAAGAUGGCGGAAUAAGCGGUUGUACAAUCUGCGGGUCUGAUUAAGAAACGUGAUUUUGAUGUCCUGUAAAAUACUUUACUGACAAACUGUUACUCCAAAGGAAGUAGAACGCAAGCGAAACCCCCUGGAAGUUACUUUGACAGACCUUCAGGCAGACACAAAGAUAAACUUAGAGCGAUAAAAAUGGCUAACCCCAAGCUAACAGGUAGCCUCUCCGACCAUGAUUACAACCUUGCUGCUAUGCGGGAAGCAUGUGAGGAUGAAGAUAUAGAAGAGAUGGAACUUCAGAAAGAGAUCGGAAGACCCAUAGGUGACCACACUCUGUUACCAAGUCCCAAUCCCAAAAAAAUGAAAAGCAAAACUAGUGAGAACCAGGUGAGCAUCGAGAAUGUAUAUGAAGUUUUACUUGGCUUCACAAAGAGAUGCGAGGAAAGGUUUGAUUCGCUUGAAAAGAAGUUGGAAGCCUUCGAACAACGCA